UACGGAGGGUGCAAGCGUUAUCCGGAUUCACUGGGUUUAAAGGGGUGCGUAGGCGGGCAGGUAAGUCCGUGGUGAAAUCUCUGAGCUUAACUCAGAAACUGCCAUGGAUACUAUUUGUCUUGAAUGUUGUGGAGGUAAGCGGAAUAUGUCAUGUAGCGGUGAAAUGCUUAGAUAUGACAUAGAACACCAAUUGCGAAGGCAGCUUACUACACAAAUAUUGACGCUGAGGCACGAAAGCGUGGGGAUCAAACAGG
rnacentral:rRNA from 1 species